rnacentral:snRNA from 1 species
UAAAAUCUAUUCUUAUCAUUUGAAUAUCUAAUAUGUCCUUUAUUUGAGGACUGUAUAUUAAAUUGAUUUUUGAAAUAGGGGGAUGGAAUAGGAGCUUGCUCCGUCCACCCCAUGCAUGGACCUGGUAUUGCAGUGCCUCCAGGAACAGUGC